rnacentral:rRNA from 1 species
UUAAGCGACUAAGCGUACACGGUGGAUGCCCUGGCAGUCAGAGGCGAUGAAGGACGUGCUAAUCUGCGAAAAGCGUCGGUAAGGUGAUAUGAACCGUUAUAGCCGGCGAUGUCCGAAUGGGGAAACCCAGUGCAAUUCGUUGCACUAUCGUUAACUGAAUACAUAGGUUAACGAGGCGAACCGGGGGAACUGAAACAUCUAAGUACCCCGAGGAAAAGAAAUCAACCGAGAUUCCCCCAGUAGCGGCGAGCGAACGGGGAGCAGCCCAGAGUCUGAAUCAGCUUGUGUGUUAGUGGAACGGUCUGGAAAGUCCGACGGUACAGGGUGAUAGUCCCGUACACCAAAAUGCACAGGCUGUGAACUCGAAGAGUAGGGCGGGACACGUGGUAUCCUGUCUGAAUAUGGGGGGACCAUCCUCCAAGGCUAAAUACUCCUGACUGACCGAUAGUGAACCAGUACCGUGAGGGAAAGGCGAAAAGAACCCCGGCGAGGGGAGUGAAAAAGAACCUGAAACCGUGUACGUACAAGCAGUGGGAGCACCUUCGGGUGUGACUGCGUACCUUUUGUAUAAUGGGUCAGCGACUUAUAUUCUGUAGCAAGGUUAACCGUAUAGGGGAGCCGCAGGGAAACCGAGUCUUAACUGGGCGUUAAGUUGCAGGGUAUAGACCCGAAACCCGGUGAUCUAGCCAUGGGCAGGUUGAAGGUUGGGUAACACUAACUGGAGGACCGAACCGACUAAUGUUGAAAAAUUAGCGGAUGACUUGUGGCUGGGGGUGAAAGGCCAAUCAAACCGGGAGAUAGCUGGUUCUCCCCGAAAGCUAUUUAGGUAGCGCCUCGUGAAUUCAUCUUCGGGGGUAGAGCACUGUUUCGGCUAGGGGGUCAUCCCGACUUACCAACCCGAUGCAAACUACGAAUACCGAAGAAUGUUAUCACGGGAGACACACGGCGGGUGCUAACGUCCGUCGUGAAGAGGGAAACAACCCAGACCGCCAGCUAAGGUCCCAAAGUCAUGGUUAAGUGGGAAACGAUGUGGGAAGGCACAGACAGCCAGGAUGUUGGCUUAGAAGCAGCCAUCAUUUAAAGAAAGCGUAAUAGCUCACUGGUCGAGUCGGCCUGCGCGGAAGAUGUAACGGGGCUAAACCAUGCACCGAAGCUGCGGCAGCGACACUAUGUGUUGUUGGGUAGGGGAGCGUUCUGUAAGCCUGCGAAGGUGACCUGUGAGGCAUGCUGGAGGUAUCAGAAGUGCGAAUGCUGACAUAAGUAACGAUAAAGCGGGUGAAAAGCCCGCUCGCCGGAAGACCAAGGGUUCCUGUCCAACGUUAAUCGGGGCAGGGUGAGUCGACCCCUAAGGCGAGGCCGAAAGGCGUAGUCGAUGGGAAACAGGUUAAUAUUCCUGUACUUGGUGUUACUGCGAAGGGGGGACGGAGAAGGCUAUGUUAGCCGGGCGACGGUUGUCCCGGUUUAAGCAUGUAGGCUGAUUGUCCAGGCAAAUCCGGAUAAUCAAGGCUGAGGUGUGAUGACGAGGCACUACGGUGCUGAAGUAACAAAUGCCCUGCUUCCAGGAAAAGCCUCUAAGCAUCAGGUAACAUCAAAUCGUACCCCAAACCGACACAGGUGGUCAGGUAGAGAAUACCAAGGCGCUUGAGAGAACUCGGGUGAAGGAACUAGGCAAAAUGGUGCCGUAACUUCGGGAGAAGGCACGCUGGUGUGUAGGUGAAGUCCCUGCGGAUGGAGCUGAGACCAGUCGAAGAUACCAGCUGGCUGCAACUGUUUAUUAAAAACACAGCACUGUGCAAACACGAAAGUGGACGUAUACGGUGUGACGCCUGCCCGGUGCCGGAAGGUUAAUUGAUGGGGUUAUCCGUAAGGAGAAGCUCUUGAUCGAAGCCCCGGUAAACGGCGGCCGUAACUAUAACGGUCCUAAGGUAGCGAAAUUCCUUGUCGGGUAAGUUCCGACCUGCACGAAUGGCGUAAUGAUGGCCAGGCUGUCUCCACCCGAGACUCAGUGAAAUUGAACUCGCUGUGAAGAUGCAGUGUACCCGCGGCAAGACGGAAAGACCCCGUGAACCUUUACUAUAGCUUGACACUGAACAUUGAGCCUUGAUGUGUAGGAUAGGUGGGAGGCUUUGAAGCGUGGACGCCAGUCUGCGUGGAGCCAACCUUGAAAUACCACCCUUUAAUGUUUGAUGUUCUAACGUUGGCCCCUGACCGGGGUUGCGGACAGUGUCUGGUGGGUAGUUUGACUGGGGCGGUCUCCUCCCAAAGCGUAACGGAGGAGCACGAAGGUUAGCUAAUCCUGGUCGGACAUCAGGAGGUUAGUGCAAUGGCAUAAGCUAGCUUGACUGCGAGCGUGACGGCGCGAGCAGGUGCGAAAGCAGGUCAUAGUGAUCCGGUGGUUCUGAAUGGAAGGGCCAUCGCUCAACGGAUAAAAGGUACUCCGGGGAUAACAGGCUGAUACCGCCCAAGAGUUCAUAUCGACGGCGGUGUUUGGCACCUCGAUGUCGGCUCAUCACAUCCUGGGGCUGAAGUAGGUCCCAAGGGUAUGGCUGUUCGCCAUUUAAAGUGGUACGCGAGCUGGGUUUAGAACGUCGUGAGACAGUUCGGUCCCUAUCUGCCGUGGGCGCUGGAGAAUUGAGGGGGGCUGCUCCUAGUACGAGAGGACCGGAGUGGACGCAUCACUGGUGUUCGGGUUGUCAUGCCAAUGGCACUGCCCGGUAGCUAAAUGCGGAAGAGAUAAGUGCUGAAAGCAUCUAAGCACGAAACUUGCCCCGAGAUGAGUUCUCCCUGAGACUUUAAGUCUCCUGAAGGAACGUUGAAGACGACGACGUUGAUAGGCCGGGUGUGUAAGCGCAGCGAUGCGUUGAGCUAACCGGUACUAAUGAACCGUGAGGCUUAACCUU